AUGACAAGGGGAACUGAUACUUCCUCAUAUGAGAAUUCUUAUCCUUCUGACUAUGGCAUGCCUUUUGGUCUGCCCUGGCUUAGAAGAAUGCAUGCUCCUAAGCCAUGGGAGAAAUUAGCAAACAGACAAAAGUUAUCAUUUGAUUUCAGUGCUUUGAAUAGGUUCAUGCAAAAAGAUAAACUUUCAGAUGUAUAUGGUAUCACCCUCACCUCUGAUGGCACAAGCGCUCUAUUUGAUGUUCUUCAGGAGAGGUUCAAGAUUACAUUUAAGGAGAGAACACAGUCAUGGCUUAGCAAGAUAAUUGAGCCCGAGGGACAAGGAGUGGUUGCCGAGGUUGUAAACCCGCCUCCAGUUGAAUACGCCUGGCCCAACGGAGCUGGGAUCUUUCUCGAACACGAAGCAGCCAUAGCCAUCAAUGUCACGAACGCCCCACGCAUUGUACUGCCUGUGGUUUGA
rnacentral:rRNA from 1 species